GAUGAACGCUGGCGGCGUGCCUAACACAUGCAAGUCCAGCGGCAGCGAGGGGUGCUUGCACCCUGUCGGCGAGCGGCGGACGGCCGAGUAACGCGUGGGAACGUGCCCCAAAGUGAGGAAUAACUGCCCGAAAGGGUAGCUAAUACCGCAUAUUAUCUUCGGAUCAAAGGAUUUAUCCGCUUUGGGAGCGGCUCGCGUCGGAUUAGGUAGUUGGUGAGGUAAUGGCUCACCAAGCCGACGAUCCGUAGCUGGUCUGAGAGGAUGACCAGCCAGACUAGAACUGAGACACGGUCCAGACUCCUACGGGAGGCAGCAGUGAGGAAUCUUCCACAAUGGGCGAAAGCCUGAUGGAGCAACGCCGCGUGCAGGACGAAGGCCUUCGGGUUGUAAACUGCUUUUAUAAGUGAGGAAUAUGACGGUAACUUAUGAAUAAGGAUCGGCUAACUACGUG
rnacentral:rRNA from 1 species